rnacentral:rRNA from 1 species
CCAAUAGCGUAUAUUAAAGUUGCUGCAGUUAAAGAGCUCGUAGUUGAAUUUCGGGGUCAAUAUGUUGGUCGUGCCUUGGUACGUACUAGCUUAUUGAUUUCUCCUUUCUGACGAACCAUGAUGUCAUUAAUUUGGUGUCAUGGGGAAUCAGGACUGUUACUUUGAAAAAAUUAGAGUGUUUAAAGCAGGCUCGCCCUUGAAUACACAUUAGCAUGGAAUAAUGAAAUAGGACAUUUGAUUCUAUUUUGUUGGUUUCUAGGAUCGAUGUAAUGAUUAAUAGGGAUAGUUGGGGGCAUUAGUAUUCAAUUGUCAGAGGUGAAAUUCUUGGAUUUAUUGAAGACUAACUACUGCGAAAGCAUUUGCCAAGGAUGUUUUCAUUAAUCAAGAACGAAAGUUAGGGGAUCGAAGACGAUCAGAUACCGUCGUAGUCUUAACCAUAAACUAUGCCGACUAGGGAUCGGAUGAUGUUAAUUUUUUAAUGACUCAUUCGGCGCCUUACG